GUGGGGAAUUUUCCGCAAUGGGCGAAAGCCUGACGGAGCAAUACCGCGUGAGGGAUGACGGCCUAUGGGUUGUAAACCUCUUUUUUCAGGGAGGAACAAAAUGACGUGUACCUGAAGAAUAAGCAUCGGCUAACUCCGUGCCAGCAGCCGCGGUAAGACGGAGGAUGCAAGUGUUAUCCGGAAUCACUGGGCGUAAAGCGUCUGUAGGUGGUUUAAUAAGUCAACUGUUAAAUCUUGAGGCUCAACCUCAAAAUCGCAGUCGAAACUAUUAGACUAGAGUAUAGUAGGGGUAAAGGGAAUUUCCAGUGGAGCGGUGAAAUGCGUAGAUAUUGGAAAGAACACCGAUGGCGAAGGCACUUUACUGGGCUAUUACUAACACUCAGAGACGAAAGCUAGGGUAGCAAAUGGGAUUAGAUACCCGAGUAGUCC
rnacentral:rRNA from 1 species